AAUAGAUACCCCGGUAGUCCACGCCGUAAACGAUGAGUGCUAAGUGUUAGAGGGUUUCCGCCCUUUAGUGCUGCAGCAAACGCAUUAAGCACUCCGCCUGGGGAGUACGGCCGCAAGGCUGAAACUCAAAGGAAUUGACGGGGGCCCGCACAAGCGGUGGAGCAUGUGGUUUAAUUCGAAGCAACGCGAAGAACCUUACCAGGUCUUGACAUCUCCUGCCAAUCCUAGAGAUAGGACGUUCCCCCUUCGGGGGACAGGAUGACAGGUGGUGCAUGGUUGUCGUCAGCUCGUGUCGUGAGAUGUUGGGUUAAGUCCCGCAACGAGCGCAACCCUUGAUCUUAGUUGCCAGCAUUUAGUUGGGCACUCUAAGGUGACUGCCGGUGACAAACCGGAGGAAGGCGGGGAUGGACGUCAAAUCAUCAUGCCCCUUAUGACCUGGGCUACACACGUGCUACAAUGGAUGGUACAAAGGGCAGCAAAGCGGUGACGCCUAGCAAAUCCCAUAAAACCAUUCUCAGUUCGGAUUGUAGGCUG
rnacentral:rRNA from 1 species